GCCAGACUCCUACGGGAGGCAGCAGUGAGGAAUAUUGGUCAAUGGGCGAGAGCCUGAACCAGCCAAGUCGCGUGAGGGAGUACUGCCCUAUGGGUUGUAAACCUCUUUUGUCGGGGAGCAAAAGCCGGACGUGUCCGGCUGUGAGAGUACCCGAAGAAAAAGCAUCGGCUAACUCCGUGCCAGCAGCCGCGGUAAUACGGAGGAUGCGAGCGUUAUCCGGAUUUAUUGGGUUUAAAGGGUGCGUAGGCGGAAUGCCAAGUCAGCGGUAAAAUCGGGGGGCUCAACCUCGCUCCGCCGUUGAAACUGGCGUUCUUGAGUGGGCGAGAAGUAUGCGGAAUGCGUGGUGUAGCGGUGAAAUGCAUAGAUAUCACGCAGAACCCCGAUUGCGAAGGCAGCCUUCCGGCGCCCUACUGACGCUGAGGCACGAAAGUGCGGGGAUCGAACAGGAUUAGAUACCCGAGUA
rnacentral:rRNA from 1 species